UAAGGUAUGCUAGUCGAACGACCAGAACUAUGUCUGGGAGUGGCACACUGCUCAGUAACACGUAGCUAACCUACCCUUAGGACGUGGAUACCCCCGAGAAAUUGGGGUUAAUCCGCGAUAGAUGUAAUGUCCUGGAAUGGUAUUACGUCUAAAGGUAUUUCAUACAUGUUUGAAAUAUGCCUAAGGAUGGGGCUGCGGCCGAUCAGGCUGUUGGUGAGGUAAUGGCUCACCAAACCUUUGACCGGUACGGGCCAUGAGAGUGGUAGCCCGGAGAUGGACACUGAGACAAGGGUCCAGGCCCUAAGGGGCGCAGCAACCGCGAAACCUCCACAAUGCACUCACGUGCGAUGGGGCUAUCUCGAGUGCCACCUGAUGAAGGUGGCUUUUCCUUGGUCUUCAAAGCCUUGGGAAUAAGAGGGGGGCAAGACUGGUGUCAGCCGCCGCGGUAACACCAGCCCCUCGAGUGGUGGGGAUGAUUAUUUGGCCUAAAGCGUCCGUAGCCGGCCGUGAAAGUCUUCCGUUAAAUCCAGCGUCUCAAGCGUUGGACCGCGGGAGAUACUACAUGGCUAGAGAGUGGGGGAGGUCAGCGGUAUUCUGGGGGUAGGGGCGAAAUCCUUUGAUCCCCGGAGGACCACCAGUGGCGAAGGCUGCUGACUAGAACACGUCUGACGGUCAGGGACGAAAGCUGGGGUAGCGAACCGGAUUAGAUACCCGGGUAGUCCCAGCCGUAAACGAUGCAUGCUAGGUGUUGGGUUGGCCACGAGCCACCCCAGUGCCGCAGGGAAGCCGUUAAGCAUGCCGCCUGGGAAGUACGAUCGCAAGAUUGAAACUUAAAGGAAUUGGCGGGGGAGCACCACCAGGCGUGAAGCCUGCGGUUUAAUUGGAUUCAACGCCGGG
rnacentral:rRNA from 1 species